CGGGUGAGUAACACGUAGAUAACCUGCCCUUUAGUGGGGAAUAACAGCUCGAAAGAGUUGCUAAUACCGCAUACGCUCUCUAUCGAUAGGUAGAGAGGAAAGCUUUAGUGCUGAAGGAGGGGUCUGCGGCGGAUUAGCUAGUUGGUGGGGUAAAGGCCACCAAGGCGACGAUCCGUAGCUGGUCUGAGAGGACGAUCAGCCACACUGGGACUGAGACACGGCCCAG
rnacentral:rRNA from 1 species